AUUCUCGAUUAUGAUCUUCGUACAAGAGACAUUGUCGAAAAUAUUAAUGCUGAAAGCAAUAAUUUUUAAUAUAUAUAAAAAUAAGUGUAUAGUGUAUUUCUAUGCAAGGUCACAUACUUGUUUUUUGUUCAAUAAAAUGCUAAACACAAAGUAGCUUUUAAUAUAUAUAUACACAUCAUAUAUUAGUUCGAAGAGGGGACUUCUGUUUUUAAAGCAAUAGAUAAAUUUUAAUUUAUAUCAUAAUUUUUUAAUAACAACUUUAGACCUUUAAAGCUCUAGUUAAAUGCACGAAGAGCUGAAAUCAGUAAUUUGAGAGGGGGAAGAAUUUUAUGAAAAUUUAGUUUAAUGCAAUAAUUUGUGAUUACAAAGUAAUUUUUGAAUGCAAUACUAAAGGCUGUGAAGGUUAAAUUUUCAGUUUUACAGACGGAAAUUUGUUAAAAUUGUAUAUUGUUUUAUUUUUAUUAUUACAUAUAAUUAUGUAAAGAUCUCUGUUGGAUAAUUGUGUGAUAUUUUUUACAACUAUAAAAUAGAUGAAGAGAUAUUUAAAUUCUAUUUUCUCUUUAAAAAAGUAUAUAUAUUCUUGUUUAUUUAUUUCUAAUACUUUAUCACUGCUGUAAAUAUUUUUGUGUGGUGUAUGUUUGUGCAUGUUGUAUUAAUGUAAAUAGUCAAAUGCAGAGGACAGUUUUAUCACAAGUUCCAUUGGAAGUGUGAUCAAGUCUUGUCUAUCCUUACAAGAUGAAAUUUUCGGAGGCAAUAGUUAUUAUCAGAUGAGUAUUAUGUUGUAUGUUUUUUAAUAUAAAUAUUUAUCAAAAAUGGUAAUCUACAUGAAGAUGGUUCUUGAACUGGAGUGGCAUAAACUUCAAUGGUAUUUGUUUGUUUAAAGAACAGAAAAUUUUAUAGACUGAAUCUCAUGUUUAUUGAUGCUGAGUGUAGAUUGAGAAUUACCAUCUAGCCAACAAUUAAAAUGAAAAUUUUGUAUAUAUCAGCUGUUCAAAAUUGUACUUGCUGUUUGCAUUAAAUGUAAAAAUAAUUAUACAAAUCGGUUAGUUAUGAAUGGAUAUGUAAAACGAAUCCAAGGGUUGUUUUUGUUGAGAUUUGUAUCGCAAAGAUAUUUCUGUUAUAUAAUUUCACUAUUUGUGUUGGGAAAUAAAAGAAUUAUAAAUAAUUAUCAGGUAUGUUCACUUUCUGUAAAUACAUUAAGUGCAAUUAAUUUUGUUUACAUCUUCAGUAACAGAAGGAACCAAGUAACUUGUAAUCUAUUGUCGAUUCAAGAAUAUCAGUUUUUGUUAGCAUAUUAAUAGUAUAAAUUUGUAUUGUAAUUAGAAUUGUCUUACUGAAAAAGUCAUAUCGUUGACACUUUCCAUUUUAGAAUGGAAAAAAGUGUAUGCAGAUAUAUCUAUUGGCAUAUCUUGUGUAAAUAUUAAAAUGUGUGAAAUUCACAUAUCUGAAUUUAUUAUAAGCUCAAACUUGCUGAAAAUAUGAUCAAAAUUACUUCAGUAUUAUCAACAAAAUAGAAUGAAAAAAUGCUCACAGGAAAUGAGUUAAUAUCUUACAUUAAACUUACUCAUUUUUAAUAUAAUAUAUUGAAAUUCACUAAAUUUUGUCAAUCCUAUAUGAUGAUAUCCUAUUUAUAUCAGUUAUCCUUCCUCAGACAUCACUAUUCUGGAAUGUAUUUACAUAUAGGAUUUGUUAUAUGCAUAAAUUUUGAAUUACAUGAAUUUUCGGAGCCGAAUUCUUAUAAAAAUUGUCAAUCCAAGGGUUUAUAUUAAAAAUAAGGUAAUCACAAAUCAAAACAC
rnacentral:lncRNA from 1 species